rnacentral:rRNA from 1 species
UGGGGAAUAUUGCGCAAUGGGCGAAAGCCUGACGCAGCGACGCCGCGUGGGGGAUGACGGCCUUCGGGUUGUAAACCUCUUUCAGUAGGGACGAAGCGCAAGUGACGGUACCUACAGAAGAAGCACCGGCCAACUACGUGCCAGCAGCCGCGGUAAUACGUAGGGUGCAAGCGUUGUCCGGAAUUAUUGGGCGUAAAGAGCUCGUAGGCGGUCUGUCACGUCGGCUGUGAAAACCCGAGGCUCAACCUCGGGCCUGCAGUCGAUACGGGCAAACUAGAGUACUGCAGGGGAGACUGGAAUUCCUGGUGUAGCGGUGAAAUGCGCAGAUAUCAGGAGGAACACCGGUGGCGAAGGCGGGUCUCUGGGCAGUAACUGACGCUGAGGAGCGAAAGCGUGGGGAGCGAACAG